GCUGGGUGCAGUGCGUGUGCCUGUAGUCCCAGCUACUUGGGAGGCUGAGGUGGGAAGAUCACUUGAGCCCAGGAGUUCUGGGCUGUAGUGCGCUAUACCGAUCGGGUGUCCACACUAAGUUUCGCAUCAAUAUGGUGACCUCCUGGGAGCAGAGGACCACCAGGUUGCCUAAGGAGUGGUGAACCGGCCCAGGUCAGAAAUGGAGCAGGUCAAAACUCCCGUGCUGAUCAGUAGUAGGAUUGCGCCUGUGAAUAGCCACUGCGCUCCAGCCUGGGCAACAUAGCGAGACCCCCAUCUCU
rnacentral:SRP_RNA from 1 species